rnacentral:lncRNA from 1 species
GGUAUAUUUUCAUACUUAAUUGUGUUUCUCUUUCUGCCUCAGCUGUAACUGAAUUAACACCGGAACCCCGAUUCAGUCCUGACUCUGAAGGUUUUCUUAGCUUUAAUUAUUCAGCCGUGGGAAAACCUGCACCUCGAAUCUCUCUUUUCCCCUCACGAAUCCUGAAUCGUCCACCUGAGGAAUACCUUGCUCAGAACCCCAACGGUACCAUAACGGUCACUAAAAUGUACACCAUCUCUGUGGAAACUGUGAGGUCCCUAGGACUCCAACAUCUGAUUAUGCACAUGGAUCACCCUCUAAGGAAUGAAGAGAAGAUUGUUCCUCUGUCAGAAAAACAAGAAUGUGCUACUUGUUCUUCUACUUGCAUAUGUAUAGUUUCAAUGAUCUUCGUUUGUGUUUUGAUUAGCACACUCCUCAUUCUCUAUUUUUGUUGGAGAAAGAUAAAGUAAGUCAUAUUACUAUAUGUUUGUGAUAAAGAAAGUUGUUAAAACAAGAUU